rnacentral:rRNA from 1 species
UGGGGAAUAUUGCACAAUGGGCGCAAGCCUGAUGCAGCCAUGCCGCGUGUGUGAAGAAGGCCUUCGGGUUGUAAAGCACUUUCAGCGAGGAGAAAGGGUUCAGUGUUAAUAGCACUGUUCAUUGACGUUACUCGCAGAAGAAGCACCGGCUAACUCCGUGCCAGCAGCCGCGGUAAUACGGAGGGUGCAAGCGUUAAUCGGAAUUACUGGGCGUAAAGCGCACGCAGGCGGUUUGUUAAGUCAGAUGUGAAAUCCCCGCGCUUAACGUGGGAACUGCAUUUGAAACUGGCAAGCUAGAGUCUUGUAG